rnacentral:rRNA from 1 species
CCUACUGGUGGCAGCAGUGAGGAAUAUUGGUCAAUGGUCGGGAGACUGAACCAGCCAAGCCGCGUGAGGGAUGAAGUUACAGAGUAUCGUAAACCUCUUUUGUCAGGGAACAAAGGCGGGGACGCGUCCCCGGAUGAGUGUACCUGAAGAAAAAGCAUCGGCUAACUCCGUGCCAGCAGCAGCGGUAAUACGGGGGAUGCGAGCGUUGCCCGGAUUUAUUGGGUUUAAGGGGUGCGCGGGCGGUCUGUUAAGUCAGCGGUAAAAGCCCGGGGCUCAACCCCGGCCCGCCGUUGAAACUGGCAGUCGCGAGUUGGAGAGAAGUAUGCGGAAGGCGCGGUGUAGCGGUGAAAUGCAUAGAUAUCGCGCAGAACUCCGAUUGCGAAGGCAGCAUGCCGGCUCCACACUGACGCUGAGGCACGAAAGCGUGGGUAUCGAACAGGAUUAGAUACCCCAGUAGUC